GGCUCCGGUGGCAAAUUUUGUAUCUACGACGCCGUUUUAAGGCGUUGGUUCCGGGUUCGAGUCCCGGCCGACCCA
rnacentral:tRNA from 1 species